UACGAAGGGGGCUAGCGUUGCUCGGAAUCACUGGGCGUAAAGCGCACGUAGGCGGAUUGCUAAGUCAGGGGUGAAAUCCUGGAGCUCAACUCCAGAACUGCCUUUGAUACUGGUGAUCUUGAGUCCGGGAGAGGGUGAGUGGAACUGCGAGUGUAGAGGUGAAAUUUCGUAGAUAUUCGCAAGAACACCAGUGGCGAAGGCGGCUCACUGGCCCGGUACUGACGCUGAGGUGCGAAAGCGUGGGGAGCAAACAGGG
rnacentral:rRNA from 1 species